CAGGAUAUAGUUUAAAUAAAAUAUUAGUUUUGGGGACUUAAGAUAGAGUGAAAACUUUUUUCCUGA
rnacentral:tRNA from 1 species